AGACUUUACCUGGCAGGGGAGAAACCGUGAUCAAGAAAGUGGUUCACCCAGGGUGAGGCUCAGCCAGUGGGAAUCUCGACUGCAUAAUUUCUGGUAGUGGGGAAAAAAUUUAUGGGCCUGG
ensembl:snRNA U1 U1 spliceosomal RNA